rnacentral:ncRNA from 1 species
GGGGAUCUACGGAGCCCUAUAACCAUUGGGUCCAGACCAUCGGACCCAUCAGCUGACGGAAGACAGAAA